rnacentral:misc_RNA from 1 species
AAGUCGUAACAAGGUUUCCGUAGGUGAACCUGCGGAAGGAUCAUUAUCACGUAUCCACGUAUCAACCAUUGUGAACUGUUUGUGCCCUUUGAAAAUUUUGCAAGAGGGAGUGUUGUGAAUAAGCGUUAUCCAAACCAUGAUGAUUUGAGAUGGUUGAGUUUAUUCACGGCCAACAAUUUUCACGAAUUGUACUUCUUCAUUUUCAAAGUGUAUUUUUCUCAAAUCAAAUUUCAUUCAUUAACAAUUUAAACCCAUAUUUUAAUUUAAAUUGUGAACUGAAAUAAUUUUUUACUCGCGGUAAAACACGAGAAGAAAUAAAUCUUACGAAACAUAAGAACAACUCUUAGCAACGGAUAUCUUGGUUCUC